GUUGUACUUUCUUCGUUCGGAAUUACUUGUCGCAAAAAAGGAUGUAUCUAGACGUAUUUUAAUUUUAGAUAUAUUCAUUUUCAAGACAAGUAAUUUCGAACGGAGAAAGUACAUA
rfam:Triticum urartu cultivar G1812 contig973134, whole genome shotgun sequence.